rnacentral:lncRNA from 1 species
AAAAAGUUAGAGGUGCCAAUAAUUGGAUAAUAUAGAUGGAAUUUACUAUAAUAAUACCCUUCUAAAAUUAGGAAGGGUAUAUCAUUUAGUUCAGUCAUCUAUGACAUGUGAACUUAAUGUUCUGUUUGUAAAUUUUCAAAAUUAUAGUAAUGUUCUUAAAGCUCAUAUGAGAGUAAGAUUUCCUCUCACAUUCAUUCUCAUGUAUACCUUUUAAAUGUUUCAUUUAGAUGUUUCCAUUACAAUUUUAAAUUACACUUAUAUUCAACCAUGUGCUCUGUGAUGAACUAAGUAUUUACAGAACUAAGUAUUUGAAUGUUUGUUUUGUAUUGUACCAUCUAUACUCUAACUUAUGCCUAAAAUAUUAGUCAUCAUGGAUUACAUAUUACAAUGACUUUAUUGCUAUAAUGGAUUUAAAGGUAUUUUAUAUUUUCAUGGUGUGUAAGCAUGAAUCUGUGUGAUGUUGAUUAUUCUCUAUAUUUAAUUUGUGCCUUUGUGCGAUUUCUAACAAGGAAUAACAAUGUGUUGUUCACCAGUGAUGCAUUAAACAGAAUGUGCGGCUAUAUAACAUUGUUAGGAACAUACUGAUGGCGGUGCAUCUCUUGCAGUUCCAUCGUUGUAACCAUGGCCAAUUUAUGCACCCGAAACUCAACUUUCAAUGCUGAGAGUGGCAGCGGUACUGCAACCCUACAACCCUCCUUCACAACACUUUGGCUUUUGAGAAUAUCACCAUUUUGAAAGUCGNNNNNNNNNNNNNNNNNNNNNNNNNNNNNNNNNNNNNUCCUGACUUCCUGUGAUGUAUCCCAAGUAAUCUACUUUCUCUUUCCCUCUAAUAUCUUUUCUUCUGAAUUUCUUACAGAAAUUUGUUUUAACGGUUAUUUUCAAUGUAUACC